UCGGAUGUGGUGAAUGGUGCACACUCGCUUCCUGUAAAUUAUGAAGGUCCUGAGGCGGGAGGCCUGGGUUCGAUUCCCAGCGUCCGAU